AACUGACACACGGUCCAGACUCCUACGGGAGGCAGCAGUGAGGAAUUUUGCGCAAUGGGGGAAACCCUGACGCAGCAACGCCGCGUGAGUGAUGAAGGCCUUCGGGUCGUAAAGCUCUGUCAAGUGGGAAGAACCCACAUGGUUCCAAUAAAACCAUGUGCUGACGGUACCACUGAAGGAAGCACCGGCUAACUCCGUGCCAGCAGCCGCGGUAAUACGGAGGGUGCAAGCGUUAUUCGGAUUUACUGGGCGUAAAGGGCGCGUAGGCGGUCUCUUAAGUCAGAUGUGAAAGCCCGGGGCUUAACCCCGGAAGUGCAUCUGAUACUGGGUGACUUGAGUAUGGGAGAGGGAAGUGGAAUUCCUGGUGUAGAGGUGAAAUUCGUAGAUAUCAGGAGGAACACCGGUGGCGAAGGCGACUUCCUGGACCAAUACUGACGCUGAGGCGCGAAGGCGUGGGGAGCAAACAGGAUUAGAUACCC
rnacentral:rRNA from 1 species